rnacentral:tRNA from 1 species
GGGGUUGUGGCUCAGUGGUAGAGUGCACGCCUAGCCCAUGUGAAGCACUUGGUUCAAUCCUCAGCACCA